UGUCAUUAAUGAAAUUGUCAUUAUUUGUCGUCUUCGUUUCUCAAGUUAUUUGAAAAUCCUAACUCAGGCACUAGACAAAAAAAAUGGCCAGCUGCAAAGGAUUUUGUGGAGCAUGCCUCUGGUUAUUAGUAUUGCUAAUAUUUGCGUUUCCUAUAGCAUGUUUUUGUGCAUUUUGGUUUAUAUUAUUUUACUGUUUUGCACAAAUGUGCAAUCCAUGUCAGAGCGUCUCAGACUUGCUGUUGGAAGGAAUGCAGCUACCAGGAUAUUGUGUUAAUAAAAUCAUAAACUGUGAAUGUUAGAAUUAAAAUAUAUGUUAUUUUUAUAUUA